rnacentral:rRNA from 1 species
GUGCCAGCCGCCGCGGUAAUACGGAGGGUGCAAGCGUUGUCCGGAAUCACUGGGCGUAAAGGGUGCGCAGGCGGGGCAGCAAGUCGGAGGUGAAAGCCCGUGGCUCAACCACGGAAGUGCCUUCGAAACUGUUGCUCUUGAGUCCCGGAGAGGUUGCCGGAAUUCGUGGUGUAGCGGUGAAAUGCGUAGAUAUCACGAGGAACACCAGAGGCGAAAGCGGGCAACUGGACGGGUACUGACGCUCAGGCACGAAAGCCAGGGUCUCGAACCGGAUUAGAAACCCCAGUAGUCC